rnacentral:rRNA from 1 species
UACGAAGGGGGCUAGCGUUGCUCGGAAUUACUGGGCGUAAAGGGCGCGUAGGCGGCGCAUUUAGUCAGGCGUGAAAGCCCUGGGCUCAACCUGGGGACUGCGCUUGAUACGGGUGUGCUAGAGGACGGAAGAGGGUCGCGGAAUUCCCAGUGUAGAGGUGAAAUGCGCAGAUAUCGGGAAGAACACCUAUGGCGAAGGCAGCUCUCUGGGACGGUACUGACGCUGAGACGCGAAAGCGUGGGGAGCGAACAGG